ACAGGUGCUGCAUGGCUGUCGUCAGCUCGUGUCGUGAGAUGUUGGGUUAAGUCCCAUAACGAGCGCAACCCCUAUCCUUAGUUGCCAGCGGAAUUAUGCCGGGUACUCUAAGGAGACUGCCGGUGACAAACCGGAGGAAGGCGGGGACGAGGUCAAGUCAUCAUGGCCCUUACGGGGUGGGCUACAAACGUGCUACAAUGGCCAGCACAAAGGGUUGUUAGCCCGCGAGGGUGCACUAAUCCCAAAAAACCGGUCGUAGUCCGGAUUGGAGUCUGCAACUCGGCUCCAUGAAGUCGGAAUCGCUAGUAAUCGCGAAUCAGAAUGUCGCGGUGAAUACGUUCUCGGGUCUUGUACACACCGCCCGUCACGUCAUGGGAGUUGGUUGCACCAGAAGUAGCUAGUCUAACCUUCGGGAGGACGGUUACCACGGUGUGAUUGACGACUGGGACGAAGUCGUAACAAGGUAGCCGUAGGGGAACCUGCGGCUGGAUCACCUCCUUA
rnacentral:rRNA from 1 species